GCAUCAGUGGUUUAGUGGUAAAAUUCGUCGUUGCCAUCUUCCGAACUCGACGAGCCGGGGGUUCGAUUCCCCCCUGAUGCA